rnacentral:pre_miRNA from 1 species
UACUGUGAGUUUUGCAGGGUUGCUUUCAGCUUCUGAAAAUUUCCGCUGUGCAAAUCCAUGCAAAACUCUCUGUACC